AGAAGUUCUAAAAUGUUAAGUUUUAAAAAUAUAAUAAUAAAAAUAUUUUCUUACGAUAGGUGAUGUUUUACCCUAAAAAGAAAAAUAUUUCGAUAUGAAUCAUCAUGCUGCCCUUCUGUUGAAAAUAAGAAGCAAAAUGAAUGAGAGAACAGUUGUAAAAGUAGAUCAUCCUUGAAAGUAUGAAAAAGAAUAAAGUAUUAAUUAGACAUCUGUUUCCAGAAAAGCAUCCUUAGUAUGGGAUGUUGUUUAAAAGUUAAAAAUUCUGAGAGGUUUGCUAAUAUUUGGUCCCACUGCCUUACAGUACACUUUGGUGGUGGAACUCAGGUUGGAAAGUGCUAAAGAGCUAGUGUGUUGGGGUUUUUUAAUACUUUUAAGAUGUUUUGUCAUAUAAAUUUCAAUUUUUUCUUUGUAAAGAACGUAUUCAAAAUAAUUUAAGAGACAAACUUGAAUUUAUUGGCAGUGAUUUGCAUAAUGAUCAGAAUCAAUCUGCUUACAAUGCAAAUCUAAGGGAAGGUCAGAGAGCUGGAAGGCUCUGGAGCUCAAGGAAACCAGAUAUAAGAGAUUUAUUUUCCUGAGUAGCCAACUGUAGGGAAAAUUAAGCGAUCCCAACUUUGAGCAGCUGUUCCACUCAACAGUUAGAUUCCAGUGCCAGUACAUUUGACUGACCAGGCUUGGCUCAGUUACCUACCUCUGGAGUCAGCCACCUGGACCCUCGUGAACUGAGAGACAGGAAGUAGAGAUAGUUUACUUCCUGUAAUCAAGGUGAUCCUACACAAAUCAGAGGGGAUGGAUAUUGGCCACCCAAAACCCAAACAUACCAGCUCAAACCAUUGGUAUCCACUUAGCAACUGAGAAUAAUUCCAUCUUAAGUGCAAAAUUUUCUCAUUCUUGGUAAAUGUGGUCUGAGCACUGACUUAUUUUGCAGAAAUUGGAGUAGGAAACAGUUUAUACACCACAAUGGUAUGUGUCUAACCGAACAAAUUGGAUAAUGUGUUAAAGUUAGCAAGCCUUGCAAAAAGAAAGAAAAAUCCAAAGAAGCUUGGGCUAAUAAGGAUAUCUUGGUACCAUUACAUUACAGCCCCAGGAAACAAACUGAUGAAAUGUUAGUCAAUUUAUGUUUCAUCUCUCCCUUUCCUUUCUCCUAUCUCCUUAAUUUAAGACAGAUAUUGAUGCUUCUUUUGGAGAAAGCAUUUCUUAAAAUAGCUAAAAUCCUUCUCUAACUUCACAUUCACUUUACAUCAUUCGUUUCUUUCCUAACUAGAAGUUUUAUUGCACUAUGUAGAAGACACUCAAGCUAUUUUUCAGAAGAAAAAGACUUGGUAUACAUCAAGAAAACACAGACAGGACAAAGCAAUAGAGUUCUUACUUAGAAGAGAGAUUUACAAACACUGAGAAGUAGGAAUGUCUCUGAUUAAGAAUGAUUCUCUGGACAAUUCUAGUAUCUACAGGUUAUUGAGGCUAUAUAUACACUAUUUAUUAUGUUGAGGGGAUUUAAAUGUUUCCUUUCAGCAGACUGAAAAAUUAAAAGACAAAACCCUCCAGUUGAAGCUUCUCUGUGGCACGCUCAAGGAGUAAUAUGUCUGUAGUUUUGAUCACUUUGGUAACAGAAGUAGUUUUUUCCUUGAUUUUAUUUACCUAUGGUUAAUAUAAUCCAAAAACAUUAAAUGAAAACUUUGAGAAACCAUUCACAAGUUUUAAAUUGUGUGCUGUUCUGAGUAUCCCGAUGAGCUCCUACUGUGUUGCUCCCUCCUGCCCAGAUGUGAAUCAUCCUUUAUCCACCAUUCAUGCUGUUAUGCCACCUGUCUGUUAGUCACUUACUAGCCAUCUUGAUUAUCAGAUGGACUGUCACAGUAUCACAGUAUCCUUCAUUUACUUAAUAAUAUCACCAAAGGGUGAGAAUAGUGGUGCUAUUUUAUUGCAGAACAUUCUAUAAUGGUUCUAUUUUAUUAUUAGUUCUUAUUGUUAAUCUUUUGCUAAGCUUAAUAUAUAAAUCAAACUUUAACAUAGGCAUGUAUGUGCAGGAUAAAACAUAGUGCAUAUAGGGUUUUAUUCUCUUCAUGAUUUCAGGCAUCCACUAGGGAUCUUGAAACAAUCUCUGCAGGUAAAGGGGGACUGCUGUAAUGUGUGUAUGUAACAUGUAUGUAUUAAACACAGAUUACAUAUGUACUGUAUAUUAACACAAUAUGUGUGUCCUGCAUUCUUGAAAGUCUGCUCUUCUUAGCCCUCUAUUACAUUCUUGUAUUUCCUUAAUUCUUACUCUUUCUUUAUAAUUAUGAACCAUCUCGGUAUUUUCCAUGAUUCAGUUGUUGCUGUCUUUCCCUUUCAUACUCUCCAUAGGUCUUAUUUAAAAUUAUGGCUUUAACUAUCCAUUCUAUAGGAAUGAUUGAAGAGAUUUAGAGUUCAUAUAUAAAUUCAUUUAUGUAAUCAAUAUUUAUUAAAGACCUAUUAUAUAAUAUCAAUAUCUUUGUCUUAAAGGUUCUUUUCUUCUGAAAAUAGUUCAGCCACUCCAGUUCUCUUUUGGUUAAGGUUUGCAUGGAAUACCUUUGCCCAUCUUUUUAUUCUCAAUCUAAAUCUGUACUUGAUCCUAAAAAAUCUCUUGUAGACAACAUAUGGUUGGGUCAUUGCUUCCCCCCCCCCUCAAUUUGUCAAUCUCUGUCUUUUAAUUGGAGAGUUUAUUCCACUUAAAUUUAAUGUAAUUACUGUAUCUGCUACUUUGCAUUUGUUUUUGUAUGUCUGAUAUGGUUUGAAUAUUUGUGUCCUUCCAAAAUCCACGUUAAACUUAGUUUUUAUUUUGGUAAUAUUAAGAGGUGGGUCCUUUUGGGAGGUGUUAAGUCAUCAGGGCUCUGCUCUUAGAAUAGGAUUCAUGCUCUUAUAAAAAACUUUGGAGAGCUGCCUAACCCCUCCAACUCUUUGCCAUGAUCUUGAAUUUUCCAAGCUCCAGAACUGUCUUAGUGCUUUCCUUGGGGAUCACAAUUAACACAAUUUUUAAACAAAUUACGUUGAGUUAAUAUAAGCUUAAUUUUAAUAUUAAAAAUCGUGGCUUCUACAUAGUUUCAUCCUUCCCCCAAACUUAUGCUAUAUAAAUUACAUGCUUAUUUAUACAUGAUGUGUCUAUCAAGUAAGACUUAUAAUUGUGAUAUGUACUUGGGUUUUAAAUAAAAUUGAAAAAAAGGCAUUAUAAACAAA
rnacentral:lncRNA from 1 species